GAUGAAGAACGCAGCGAAAUGCGAUAAGUAAUGCGAAUUGCAGAAUUCCGUGAGUCAUCGAAUCUUUGAACGCACAUUGCGCCCGCCAGUAUUCUGGCGAGCAUGCCUGUUCGAGCGUCAUUUCAACCAUCAAGCCCCAGGCUUGUGUUGGAGCCCUGCGGCUGCCGCAGCCUCCCAAAACCAGUGGCGGGCUCGCUAUCACACCGAGUGCAGUAGUUUACUCUUCGCUCAGGGCGUGUGGCGGGUGCUAGCCGUGAAACCCCCAACUUCUCAAGGUUGACCUCGGAUCAGGUAGGAAUACCCGCUGAACUUAAGCAUAUCAAUAAGCGGAGGA
rnacentral:misc_RNA from 1 species